rnacentral:rRNA from 1 species
UGGGGGAUAUUGCACAAUGGGCGAAAGCCUGAUGCAGCGACGCCGCGUGGGGGAUGAAGGCCUUCGGGUUGUAACCUUCUUUUGCUCUGAACAAGGCAUGCUAAUGGGUGUGUUGAGUGUAGGGGUUGAUUAGCGCCGCCUAACUACGUGCCAGCAGCCGCGGUAAUACGUAGGGCGCGAGCGUUGUCCGGAAUUAUUGGGCGUAAAGGGCUUGUAGGUGGCUGGUUGCGUCUGUCGUGAAAGCUCAUGGCUUAACUGUGGGUUUGCGGUGGGUACGGGCUGGCUUGAGUGCAGUAGGGGAGGCUGGAAUUCCUGGUGUAGCGGUGGAAUGCGCAGAUAUCAGGAGGAAUACCGGUGGCGAAGGCGGGUCUCUGGGCUGUUACUGACACUGAGGAGCGAAAGCAUGAGGAGCGAACAGG